AGCUCCGAGGUAAUCUCCCCGCUAAAGGCGCCAUGAUAUGUGCGACCCGGCUGCUGCAUAUGCGUCACUUGCACGCUGCCCGAUCUAAUGUAGAAGGGAGACUUACGGAAAAUGCACUUUGGCAAUGGCGCAGGCAAAUAAACGCCAUCCUUAUAACUGCACUUAUACUCCAUGUCGAGGCGCCCUUGCACCUGGAGACCCUUCACCUGUGGACAACUAAAGGUGCAGCGUGCCUCCUCCGUGUCGUAAGCGCACUUAUAGUUGCCAUUGAAAUGCGUAUUGGUUACAUUGCAACUAGAAAUGCCUGAUAUACAAAUUAUAAGUAUUCAAAUUCAGUUAAGGAUAUCCAGAUGUAUGCUCACUGUAUUGGCAAUAUGAGCCGCGAUGUAUCUUGGAGCACUGACAGAUGUUGAAGCUGAUGCACUGUCCGCCGUUCUCGCAGGCCGGCGAGCAGGUUGCUGAAGAUAUAGAAGGUCAGCUUACAUUAUAUAACCGGAAUAUGCUGUUCACUUACGGCCACAGUCUGGCAUCUUGGCAAGUCCAGUUUUGGAAUGCACCCACUGGCCAUUGCGGCAUUCAAUGUUGGCGAUGCCGCUGCCGUCCGGGAACUGAAAGCCUCGCAUGCAUUGAGCAUUACAAAAACUAACAGGAAAUGCUAAAUUAAAUAUAUAUAACGGUUGAUAUAGCCCACUCAACUCACUUAUUUUUGCAGGACACCUUGGAAUUCUUGGGCACUGGCGGCUUGGCGGCACACACGGACUUCUUGUGCUGGCAUAACGGGCCUGAAUAGUUCUCCGGACACUGGCAUAUGCCUGCUUGUAGACAGAUGCCAUUGUUCUCGCAUGGCGGCAAGCACACAGCCUGACAAGGCGGCACUCGAGUAAACUCCGAGUUGACUAUUAUCCAGCCAUCGUUGCUGCAAAAAAGAUCCAGGGAUUUGGUGUCCUGGGAAAACGUAUAACCAUCCGGGCAAUACACUUGACACCUACCACUGCCAUCGCAUUGGGACAGCACAUUUUGUGGCAGUGGAAGCUCUGCGCAUUUGCCAUACGUUCUCAACGAUUGAGCGGCAUUUCCAUAAAAGUUGCCCUUCACACUGGGGAAUUACGUUAUAUAUGAUAUACAAACUAUAUAAAUAAUCAGACAAAUUUUACCCUUUGCCCAUGCCGAAUAAGCUAAGCGCAUUGUUGAGGAUGUUUGAGCUGCAUUUCGAGUUUUUAAAUUUUAUAUAUAUUCUAAUAGAAUGGAUUUAACUCUACACUCACCUCCCGGUCUUAAUGCUGCCCUUGAUAGGAAACAGCUUGCCACCAUAGUCAACGCUUGCAGGCGGAGCAUCAUUGUAGUCGUAGCAGGCGCCUUACGAUAUCCAAAAUUGAAAUGACGUUCCUGGCGUUCCUUAUUAUCAACAUCCGGUGCCGACUGAGCCAGGGG